UGCAAGUCGAGCGGAUGAGAGGAGCUUGCUCCUCGAUUCAGCGGCGGACGGGUGAGUAAUGCCUAGGAAUCUGCCUAGUAGUGGGGGACAACGUUUCGAAAGGAACGCUAAUACCGCAUACGUCCUACGGGAGAAAGUGGGGGAUCUUCGGACCUCACGCUAUUAGAUGAGCCUAGGUCGGAUUAGCUAGUUGGUAGGGUAAAGGCCUACCAAGGCGACGAUCCGUAACUGGUCUGAGAGGAUGAUCAGUCACACUGGAACUGAGACACGGUCCAGACUCCUACGGGAGGCAGCAGUGGGGAAUAUUGGACAAUGGGCGAAAGCCUGAUCCAGCCAUGCCGCGUGUGUGAAGAAGGCCUUCGGGUCGUAAAGCACUUUAAGUUGGGAGGAAGGGCUCAUAGCGAAUACCUGUGAGUUUUGACGUUACCAACAGAAUAAGCACCGGCUAACUUCGUGCCAGCAGCCGCGGUAAUACGAAGGGUGCAAGCGUUAAUCGGAAUUACUGGGCGUAAAGCGCGCGUAGGUGGCUUGAUAAGUUGGAUGUGAAAUCCCCGGGCUCAACCUGGGAACUGCAUCCAAAACUGUCUGGCUAGAGUGCGGUAGAGGGUAGUGGAAUUUCCAGU
rnacentral:rRNA from 1 species